GAUAGGGUAAGGGUUGGUAAUGGGACUGGUGGAUAGGGGAAGGAUUGGUAAUGGGACUGGUGGAUAGGGGAAGGGUUGGUAAUGGGACUGGUGGAUAGGGGAAGGGUUGGUAAUGGGACUGGUGGAUAGGGGAAGGGUUGGUAAUGGGACUGGUGGAUAGGGGAAGGAUUGGUAAUGGGACUGGUGGAUAGGGGAAGGAUUGGUAAUGGGACUGGUGGAUAGGGGAAGGAUUGGUAAUGGGACUGGUGGAUAAGGGAAGGAUUGGUAAUGGGACUGGUGGAUAGGGGAAGGAUUGGUAAUGGGACUGGUGGAUAAGGGAAGGGUUGGUAAUGGGACAGGUGGAUAGGGGAAGUAUUGGUAAUGGGACUGGUGGAUAGGGGAAGGGUUGGUAAUGGGACUGGUGGAUAGGGGAAGGAUUGGUAAUGGGACUGGUGGAUAGGGGAAGGAUUGGUAAUGGGACUGGUGGAUAGGGGAAGGGUUGGUAAUGGGACUGGUGGAUAGGGGAAGGAUUGGUAAUGGGACUGGUGGAUAGGGGAAGGGUUGGUAAUGGGACUGGUGGAUAGGGGAAGGGUUGGUAAUGGGACUGGUGGAUAGGGGAAGGGUUGGUAAUGGGACUGGUGGAUAGGGGAAGGGUUGGUAAUGGGACUGGUGGAUAGGGGAAGGGUUGGUAAUGGGACUGGUGGAUAGGGGAAGGAUUGGUAAUGGGACUGGUGGAUAGGGGAAGGGUUGGUAAUGGGACUGGUGGAUAGGGGAAGGAUUGGUAAUGGGACUGGUGGAUAGGGGAAGGAUUGGUAAUGGGACUGGUGGAUAGGGUAAGGGUUGGUAAUGGGACUGGUGGAUAGGGGAAGGGUUGGUAAUGG